UACGGGGGGGGCAAGCGUUGUUCGGAAUUACUGGGCGUAAAGGGUUCGUAGGUGGCUUGUUAAGUCAGACGUGAAAUCCCUCGGCUCAACCGGGGAACUGCGUCUGAGACUGAUGAGCUCGAGUGCAGGAGAGGAACGCGGAAUUCCCGGUGUAGCGGUGAAAUGCGCAGAUAUCGGGAGGAACACCGGUGGCGAAGGCGGUUCUCUGGGCCUUACCUGACGCUGAGGAGCGAAAGCGUGGGGAGCGAACAGG
rnacentral:rRNA from 1 species